GAUAAGAAAUGGUAUAAGCAGUGAUGAUAUGAUGCUAAAGUGAUGACAAAUGGAUGCUCAAAACAUGCAAAAUACACACUUAUCAACUCCCCCAAACUUAGUCUUUGCUUAAGAACAAGCUGGAGGUGAGGUUUGAAAGCGGGGACUCAGAGCCAAAGCAGCAGAUAAACCAGAUGAAAUCAAUGUCCAAGUUGAUAGUUCUAAGUUGCGAUAUGAUCGAAUUCUACUCAAAAACGUUAGCCAUGCCUUUUUAUCAAUCAAUCCGACUCAUAUGCUCGACCUACACGUGUUUUCAAAUCUACCAAUCCCUUUAACAUUCAUUAGCUCUAGAACGUGAAUCAAGCAAUGCAUCAUCAAUGAACUCAUUUGGCUAAGGUAAAAGGUCAAGAGACAAAGAUGGUCCUUUACAGAAUAGGCUUCAGUAACAAGGGAUCUCUCAAAAAAUGAUUAAGCUUUAGUUGAAUGCUAAAGGUAAGUCCCAAGCUAUGCAUACAGAGAUAAGAUCUCAUCUACCCAGAGUAUAUCAAAUGAAGCUCUAAUGGUUAUCCCAUCUCCAAUCCCAAUAUAAGAACUUAACUCUACCCUUUGCAUUCAUGAAUCUUUUAAGCCCUUUUUCUAAUCAUUCUUUUCUUUUCUCUUAACUCUAGGAGAAGCUUUCUCAACACUUUGAUAUAUCUAGCGGAUUUGGAUUUCUUUAACAACUAAGGUUCCUGUUUUUAACAUUUUAAAACCGAGGGCUUUUGCCCAUCUUCAAUAGCUAACAAAA
rnacentral:sRNA from 1 species